UAAACAGUAAUGCGAGGAAAUAGUAACAGUUCAGCUUCCUAAAGAGAGUCGAUGACUGGUGUGAAUCGACGUUAGCUGCCUGCGAAUCCAUCCUUAAACUGGUUUACUGAAUGUACGUUCAAGUAAGUAAACCCGGAUAAAAACCGUUAACAUUUUCGAGCCGGAAGAAUUAAUUUCUUCAAUCAGGGUGGCAUCGCGGGAAUUCAUACUCUCGUCCCUAUU
rnacentral:ncRNA from 1 species